rnacentral:rRNA from 1 species
GAUGAACGCUGGCGGCGUGCUUAACACAUGCAAGUCGAACGAUGAAGCUCAGCUUGCUGGGUGGAUUAGUGGCGAACGGGUGAGUAACACGUGAGUAACCUGCCCUUAACUCUGGGAUAAGCCUGGGAAACUAGGUCUAAUACCGGAUAGGAGCGCCUACCGCAUGGUGGGUGUUGGAAAGAUUUAUCGGUUUUGGAUGGACUCGCGGCCUAUCAGCUUGUUGGUGAGGUAAUGGCUCACCAAGGCGACGACGGGUAGCCGGCCUGAGAGGGUGACCGGCCAAACUGGGACUGAGACACGGCCCAGACUCCUACGGGAGGCAGCAGUGGGGAAUAUUGCACAAUGGGCGAAAGCCUGAUGCAGCGACGCCGCGUGAGGGAUGACGGCCUUCGGGUUGUAAACCUCUUUCAGUAGGGAAGAAGCGAAAGUGACGGUACCUGCAGAAGAAGCACCGGCUAACUACGUG